rnacentral:lncRNA from 9 species
GAGACCGGAGGAAGGGGGCGGGGCGGAGCCGGGCACCCCGCCUUGGGCGCUCGGGAACUUCUUAUCCUAGGGUGUUCCGCGGGUCCCAGGCUGUUUUAUCAGGUCCUGCCCUGAGACCCCGCGCGCACGUGCUCCUCCUGCCCAAAGGCCGCUGGAGGCUGGGUCUGCAGCCGCCAGAGGGCCCAAGUUAGACAAACCCAGUCCGGGACCGCCCGGCCCUCCCGCCUCACCUCGUCUGGAUCAGCGCCCGCCCGAGCGCACCUUGGCACCUGGGAAAGCGCGGCCCCUAAAGGCUUCCCUGCAGGGGGCUGAGCUCCCCAGGAUGCGGGCGCCCGCCCACCAGGCAGGGGUCGCUCUAGGUGGUGUCCCUGGGCGUGUGUGGCGGGGGGGGGGGGGGGGGGGGGAAGAGGGGUAAAUACAUGCCUUCACGGGGGUACAGGUUGAUUCCUUGGUCGCUUCUCUUUCAGCCCCCGGAUUGGCUGAUGGGAGAAUCUUUUCUUAACCCUUGCUGGUGCUUUAUUCUUAAAAACAAAGAGAAAGCUCAGAGUCCUCCGCAGGCAAAGGGAUCCAGCUAGAACCCAGACUCUGGUGUGUUUCCACAGGAUGUGUUUUUAUAGUUUCCUUCUAUUUAUGACAAGUGAUACUGGUUUUCCAGUUAUGGUAGUUGAUGAACAUCCUGCAGAAGAUAAAUUAUUUAGAAGUCAGUUGACUGAAAGAACUGCAUGAAUAAAUAAUAGUAGAACAAGGGAACUGAGGAUGUGACAGAAGACAGGAAGACAUGUUAGCGUUGGAAGUUUAAAAAAACAGGGCUCCCAGGCAAGGGGGCUGGGUCAGAAAUGCAUUUUAUUACCAUGUCUUCCGUGUCUUCGUUUUGGGCUCUUCUGAUGCCUUGAUCCUGGGCGGAGAGAAUUUUAGAAAUCCGGAACAAGUAUUUCUUUAUUAAAUAGGAACAUGGCUAUUCUAUGCAAUUACGCACUGAUCUAAGUGCUUUACAAAUAUUGUCUAUUUCAUCCUCACACACUAGGAGACCAGUGCUAUUGUCCCCAACUUACAGAUGAGGAAACUGAGGCACGGUGAGGUUAGCAAACUGCCCAGAGGUCAGAGCUGGGGGUUGAACCUAGACGGGUGCCCUCACGCUCAGCGGCUCAGUGUCAAGAUAGCAAUUUGGUUCCCAGGUUCAAAGGCAGAGGGCGCUCUGCAGAACUGCAGGCCUCCCGCCAGGCUUUAGUGGUGGCCGGCUGUCUCUGAGCCUCUUGGGUCUGCAUGGUCCUUCCUGCGCAGGUGCCCCGGGGCUGCAGCCUCAAGAGGGGGCCCUGUGUUUGGGGGACUGGAGAGAGACACGACGUGUUUGGGGUGGAGAUCCCGUCUCGGAGUACGGUCACAGCUCCCCUGGCUGGUGUCCCCUGGUUGGGACAAGCUGAUGGCACGGAGAGUGACGGUCAUUGUCCUUCUAGGGCAGAGUUAGGGGAGUGCUGGUCACUGAAGCAUAAAACUGGCACCCACAGGCUCCCCUCCAGGAUGCAGGUGUGGGAGGAUGUCCCAGCUUCCCAGGGCAGGGGAGUGAUAACGUGUCUGCUGGCCUGGGGAGGAGCCUGGCCUCGGGCCCAAAGGUCACAGGAGGGACGUUACCUCUGUCCUGCGUGUCAUCUGUGGUACCCUUCCAGCCUGAGGCUUCUCUCCUUCUUGAAACAUCUUCCACUGCCAGAUACCACCCGGGACAUGGAGGAAAGUGAGUGGGACCCUAAGGAGGAAGAGGAGCAAGGUCCUGGUGACAAAACCACCUCCUCGGAGGUCACAGAGAAAGACCAGAGGUGCUAGAGUCCCCAGGGACCAGGAAAUCUUGUCCUCAGUGCUGGACAGGCUCUGGGGAUCUAGCUCUGCCCCUGGGCUCCAGUUCAUGGACAGCCCCACAUUGUAAGCCCGGGGGAGUGGGGGGGGGCUGUAGUCGGCCCCCCAAGGCCAAUGUGGGGGAGCUGGCAGGGGGCCUCAGGUCAUCGGUGCAUCUAGGGACCCACCUGGCCCUGGGAGCCUCAGAGCCUCGGAGCCCGGGCUGCAGGUCCCCCGACCACAUGCCGAGCCCCUCGGGAGCUGCAUUUAUCUUUGUGUUCAUCGUUCCUGAAGCAGGAAACAGAACCCUCGGAGCGAAGCGAAUGGUCGAGUCAACCAGUGUUUGUCCUUCUCCUGGGGCCUCCCGGAGACCCAGGUUCAAGCCUGCCCACCUCUGGAGACCUCGCUCAGAGGUAGCACUUCCCCGCCACCCCAGAUCCCGGGUCCCUGCAGACAGGCCCUGGGAAGAGAACGGGGCCUAAAGCCCCUUCUCCUGGCUGCCCGUGGCCUGGCUGCCCUGCCUCUCUUCCUGAUUCCGCUAAGAGUCCAAGAGGCAGCCCAUCUCGCAGCCGCCCUCCUUGCCACGAUGCCAGGUGAAAAUAACAGCCCACCUCCCCCACUGCCUUCAUCUGUCAGGGCCCUCCGUGCCCACACAUUAGCCCUGGCCCUUGGCCUUGGGCUGAGGAUUGUGAUGAGCUGGAAAGAAAUCAGGUUGGGGAUGAGCAGAAGUAUCUAAUGAGAUGUGAAACAUUUAGAGUGCCAGGGCUGCUUCCUCCAGGCGCCGGUGCCACUGUGGUCCUCGUCAGCAUCACCCCGACAGGAUGUGACAAGCCCACGUCCCCGGGAAGCAGGCCUGAUGUCCUUCCAUGAGCGAGGCAGACAGCAAGGCCUUGGUCCGGGAGAGGCAGCGGCGGCGCUUGCUUAAGUGCACCUGGGCCACAACCUCCCCAGAGCAAAGCCGUGCCCAGGCCUGGCCAGGCGGCUCCCACUUGCCUUCAGGGCCCCCGGGCCUCAUAGGGAGGGUGAGCCACCUCCUUAACGCUGCCCUGAUCAUCAGCAUUUAUCACUGCCUUUGUAUCUUCAUCAGACCUGUAUGUGGCGCUCACUUGCCCUGUGUCCAAAUCACCAUUCUGAUUGCUUCGCUUACGGCCUCAACACAACCUAGGAUUCAGAAACUGCUCUUAGAAGUCCCACCUUGGAGUUCCUGCUGGGGUGCAGUGGGCUAAGAAUCCGGCUGCAGAGGGUUCCCGCUGUGGCUCAGUGGAAACGAAUCCAACGAGUAACCAUGAAGAGGCAGAUUCAAUCCCUGGCCUCCAUCAGUGGGUUAAGGAUCCGGUGUCGCCGAGAGCUGUGGUGUAGGCUGCAGACACAGCUCGGAUCCCGUGUUGCUGUGGCUGUGGCCAGCAGCUGCAGCUUUGAUUCGACUCUUAGCCUGGGAACUUUCAAAUGCCACAGAUGCAGCCCUAAAA